GUCGGGCGACCUUGCUGGAUUACUUUUACCUUUGACGAGAUAUCUUGUGCAUCGGGAUUCCGAUGAUGCUUUGGGUAAUCUCAGAGUUGAGGUUUUCCACUAAGGAGUCCGACGAGAUCGCGAGCUUCGUCAUUGAGGAUUUCUAUGCGGCUUGUGGUAAUUUGUGAUGGACUAGUUGGAGCACCCCUGCAGGGUUAAAUCUUUCGGAAAGCCAUGCCCGCGGUUAUGUGGCAACGUGGAAACUUUGUUUAACACUGGUUCUAGAUAACUU
rnacentral:lncRNA from 1 species